UCCCAAGUAGCUGGGACUACAGGCGCCCGCCACUACGCCUGGCUAAUUUUUGUAUUUUUAGUAGAGAUACUCUGUUCUUAUUUAAUCCUCUCAAUGGCCUGAAGAGAUAGAUAAUCAUACUCUCAACUUUCAAAUGAAGAGACUAAGGUUCUCAGAGGUGAAAUAGCUUGUCCAAGGUCACGCUGCUGGUAAGAGGCAGAGCCAGGAUAUGGGUCUGUAUGAUUUCAGAAUCUUUUUUUUUUUUUUUUUUGAGAUUGAGUCUUGCUCUGUUGCCCAGGCUGGAGUGUAGUGGUGCGAUCUUGGCUCACUGCAACCUCUGCCUCCUAGGUUCAAGCGAUUCUCCUGCUGCAGCCUCCCGAGUAGCUAGGAUUACAGGUGUGAGCCACCACACCUGGCCAAUUUUUGUAUUUUUAGUAGAGAUGGAGUUUCACCAUGUUGGCUAGGCCAGUCUCGAACUCCUGACCUCAAGUGAUCCACCCGCCUCAGACCCCCUACAUAGCUAGGAUUACAGGCAUGAGCCACUGGGCCUGGCCUUAUUUCAGAAUCUUAACCCUUAAACUCUGACCACAUGCCCUAGUGAGGGAGGCAAGCAUACCCAGAGAGGUCUUAAGAUGCCUGAGGUGCCAGGAGAGCAUGGAGAUGCCUGGGAAAAAGUAUCAUAUACAUUUGGAAACUUGAAAAUUGACAUAUGAUAAUGGACUUUAGGAAAUGAAUGUGUAGAGGAAGAAGUCAGGUGAUGCUGGUGUCCUGGGGACCACUCCACGGAAGGAGAAGACACUGGGAAUAGAAGACCUUUGAAAAUCGUGAUGGGCUUAAAGAUCCCAGCGCAGGUCCCACCACUUAUUCGCUCUCACCUGGCAUCUCAAUCUCUGCAUCUGUAAAAAUGAAGAAAAUAAUCCAUCUCCCUGGAUGACUUCAUGAGAUUUUUUGUAGUCAUCAGUGAGGUACUGUACAUAGACGUGCUGUAAGGACGAAAAGUUCUUCACAAUAGGAUGCAUGGGAAAGCAAGCAGGGAGCAGUGGAGGAGGCUGAACCCAGAACGUGGGCUGAGGAUGCUGGGAGGGAACAGGGUUGGGGGCUGAAUCCUAACAGGAGGAAGCUACUGAGCUGCUUCUGUAAGUUGGGCCUGGAUGGAAACCCUGGAAGCAGUAACUCCAAGAAAGAUUCAAAAGUGGGACAAGAAGAGCAAGAACCAGGAAUGGAAAAACUCCAAGGAACAUGAGUGAAGAGCCUCGAAAAAACAGGACACUCACAGUUCAGGAAACUACCAAGGGUCCAAGGAGAGGCCUUGCUUGGCCGUGGUGUGGUCCUGCAACUCCAGGGCAGACCUAGACUCAUGGGAAAGUCCCUGCUUUGUGAUGAGGCUGAAAGAGGAUGAGUGGGGAGUGGCCGGAAGAAGAAAGGGUGUAACCAGAGACCAGUGUCAACAAGGAAUCUGGCUUGGAACGCUUUUGUCUGCAGCCCUCUUUGGAGCGUGACUUGCUCUUUCAGAGGUCUGUAUUUCUCUACCUGGACUACCCUGAGAGCUAACCCCAGUUAUUGGUCUGGAAGCAACGAAUGAAGGCCGGGGCAGAGCUUGAGGAGGGCAACAUCAUUUUGUCACAGUCGCCAUCAAGAAUCUAGUUGCAGACUGGGCGCUGUGGCUCACGCCUGUAAUCCCUGCACUUUGGGAGCCAAGGUGGGUGGAUCACUGGAGCCCAGGAGCUCAAGAGCAGCCUGGGCAACGUGGUGAAAGCCCAUUUCUACAAAAAAAUGCAAAAAUUAGCAGAGUGUGUUGGUGCAUGCCUGUGGUCUCAGCUACUCGGGA
rnacentral:lncRNA from 1 species